GCCUACAAGAUAAUCUAAUCUUAAUAGGUCUUGUGAUACUAAGCUUAGAUAAUAGCAAAGCAAGGCUACUAAGUUCUGAUUCGCUUUGCCCGAGUUUUAAAAGUCACUUUAUAAACUUGAAAAUAAAUUUUCAUCUCAGGAUACCAACAAUACCCUUGCUUGACUUUUCAUAAAACUUUUAGCUAAAAAAAAAAUAAUUUCAAUACAUAAAUAUUUUCUUUUAAAAAACAUAGUAUAUUCUCAUUCUAAAUAAAACAUUUAUAUAUACGCAUAUAACAUAUAAUUCGCAUAAUUAUAUGCAUAUAAAAUUAUGAUGCAGCUGCAUUGCUUAAUAAUUAAGCAAGCCCAUUACUCAAAUUAAUGUAUGCCCAACAAAGCAAAUAAACAAGCCCAAGUUUUAAUUAAUCGUAAUGGCCCAAAAUAAACUCCACCCAAUUUCUCUCAUCUUCUUCACGCAGCCAAUCUCCUUUCUCUCUCUUACGCUCAAACUCCAUAAACCAUCCUUCCCCUUUUCCUUCUCCACGCUGUCUGCCGCCUCCCACGAAUCCGGCGGCGCGUCUCCGGCGAUCACCACCGCCGCCCUCAUCUCUCUCUAUCCUUCUCCUUCGCCCGUCCCUCUCCCUCUGUAUCCUUUCUCCGCCGCACUGCACAGCCAGCACCGGUGGCCGUCACCGUUACUUCCUCAGACCGGCGCCACCCCUUCCUCUGUCUCUAUUUCUUCUCAGACCCUUCACCCACAAUUCCCCCAAAUUUCAGAAACCUUCCUCCCUCAAUCUUAGCCCUAAGUCUCUCUGAAAUCCCCUCCCUUUCCUGUCACUCGACAACAGGCAACGGCUGCCGCCGCUUCACCCUCGAUUCACGGCGAGAAUCGCCGCCCUACUCUCAUCCGGCGACAACAGCACCAGCCACCAGGCCCGCUGUCACCGCCGCCCAGCCGCCCUCCACCAUCUCCAUCUCCCUCGUUCUCUCAUCGGAACGGGCAGCAGCCUCCGCCGCCUUCCCGAUUCUCACCAUCAACGAUCCCGUCUCCCUCUCUAUUCUCACGGCGAACGGCAAAAAUUGCCGCCGCCCCCUUCUCCUUCGAUCCGGACAGCAGCAGCCCUUCAGCCCCUGUCGCCGCUCUCCUUGCUUCAACCCCUCCUAGCCCCGACUGAACUCACGCCACACUAACACGCACAACAAGAAUCAAACGCAGCAAGAUCGAAGCUGUAAAGACUGAAGUUUUAUCAAAAUUAAAGGGCCAUCAGCUCAUCGCAGCACCUUAGAGCUUUGGCGCUCAUCCUCGUUGCUUCCUGUCUCGGCCUCCGACACUCCACGAUUCCUGCAACCUUUACGUAGGUAGGUUCGUUUGCUGAUUUGGCGUGUGUUAUCUGACAUAUUAUAGCUUGUCUGUAUCACUGUAUGUUACUGCUUUUAGUCUUUUUUUUGCAGAAAAAGGAGUUCUUUUAAUUAUA